rnacentral:rRNA from 1 species
AUGGCUAUAAUUAUCACAUGUUGGAUAAUGUGCUCCGUUGGUAAUUUGCGUUCAGUCAACUUAGGGCAUCUCCAAUGCUAUACAUCAAAAUGGCCGCAUCAAAUGUCUGUGGACAUGUCUGUUUGGGACAGCUUUUGGGGAGGUAGCCAUCUCAAAAUGGACACACCAAAUGUGCGAACGAGUCUGGAGUGUCUGGGGACAAAUUUAGGAUGUGUUUGGUUUGAAGGACAUGCCGGGGUGGCUAUGGGCAUCCCUAUCCAGCAGGAUAAGGAUAGCCA